rnacentral:rRNA from 1 species
UACGAAGGGGGCUAGCGUUGCUCGGAAUCACUGGGCGUAAAGGGUGCGUAGGCGGGUCUUUAAGUCCGGGGUGAAAUCCUGGAGCUCAACUCCAGAACUGCCUUUGAUACUGAAGAUCUUGAGUUCGGGAGAGGUGAGUGGAACUGCGAGUGUAGAGGUGAAAUUCGUAGAUAUUCGCAAGAACACCAGUGGCGAAGGCGGCUCACUGGCCCGAUACUGACGCUGAGGCGCGAAAGCGUGGGGAGCAAACAGG